rnacentral:rRNA from 1 species
GAUGAACGCUGGCGGCGUGCUUAACACAUGCAAGUCGAACGGAAAGGCUCCUGCUUGCAGGGGUACUCGAGUGGCGAACGGGUGAGUAACACGUGGGUGAUCUGCCCUGCACUUCGGGAUAAGCCUGGGAAACUGGGUCUAAUACCGGAUAGGACGAUGGUUUGGAUGCCAUUGUGGAAAGUUUUUCGGUGUGGGAUGAGCUCGCGGCCUAUCAGCUUGUUGGUGGGGUAAUGGCCUACCAAGGCGUCGGCGGGUAGCCGGCCUGGGAGGGUGUAAGGCCCCAAUGGGACAGGGGAGGCGGCCAGACUCCUUCGGGGGGCAGGAGGGGGGGAUAGUGCAAGAAAGGCCGAAGGCGGGAGGAAGGACGGCGGGUGGGGGAUGACGGCCUUCGGGUUGUAAACUCCUUUCGCUAGGGACGAAGCGCAAGUGACGGUACCUGGAGAAGAAGCACCGGCUAACUACGUG